UCUCUCUCUCACACUCACACAUAUCCUCUUCAAGGCUUUAGAUUUUCUCUCUGGAUGCCUUCUGAAAGGAUUUGUAAAAACUUAAAUUAGCUUAAUUAUUCUUUCCUAUAUUCUGGAUUUAAAAUGUUCCAUCUGUCUCAUGUCAUACAGCAUGACUGCAGUUAACACAAUAAAUAUUACUUUUUUCUUUCACUUCUCUUGUGUGUGUGUGUGAUGUUUGUCACCUAUCUGUAAACUGUUAUAAACUGCAGUCAGAUGUAGGGCUCUCUGUAUGUGUUAAUGCACAUAGCCUUGUGGUUUCCAACAGGUUCCUUUUUCACAGCAACAAAGUGGCCCUGAGCAACAUCACUGAAGCCCCUUCUGUUUACUCACUAAGUCAUUUUGGAAAGCAUCAGAAAAGUGCAGGAUUAGGGUGUGAGAAUGUCAAAAAUCAGAAAAAGCAUGUGAAUAUAAUGCGCUUUAAGGCAUUAUGGUGUAUUCUGUUAUUUGACUUGUUUCCUUUGCUGUGAAAUAUUUAGACACUCUUACUGUAGCUGCAUAUUACACUGUGUCUACACAGGUGACGUUGCAUUGGCAGCAGCUCUAGUCCUCCGUCUCUGUAUACUGUGGUGGGAAUUCUAAUAAUGUACAUAGGCCAAGAUCUGAAAUAAAGCUUCAGUCAACAA